rnacentral:rRNA from 1 species
UACGUAGGGUGCAAGCGUUGUCCGGAAUUAUUGGGCGUAAAGAGCUCGUAGCGGUUUGUUGCGUCGGCUGUGAAAAACUCGGGGGCUCAACCCCGAGCCUGCAGUCGAUACGGGCAGACUAGAGUGCGGUAGGGGAGACUGGAAUUCCUGGUGUAGCGGUGGAAUGCGCAGAUAGUCAGGAGGAACACCGAUGGCGAAGGCAGAUCUCUGGGC